rnacentral:rRNA from 1 species
GCAACCCUUAUUGUUAGUUGCCAUCAUUUAGUUGGGCACUCUAGCGAGACUGCCGGUGACAAACCGGAGGAAGGUGGGGAUGACGUCAAAUCAUCAUGCCCCUUAUGACCUGGGCUACACACGUGCUACAAUGGGAAGUACAACGAGUUGCGAAGUCGCGAGGCUAAGCUAAUCUCUUAAAGCUUCUCUCAGUUCGGAUUGUAGGCUGCAACUCGCCUACAUGAAGCCGGAAUCGCUAGUAAUCGCGGAUCAGCACGCCGCGGUGAAUACGUUCCCGGGCCUUGUACACACCGCCCGUCACACCACGAGAGUUUGUAACACCCGAAGUCGGUGAGGUAACCUUUUUGGAGCCAGCCGCCUAAGGUGGGAUAGAUGAUUGGGGUGAAGUCGUAACAAGGUAGCCGUAUCGGAAGGUGCGGCUGGAUCACCUCCUUUCUAAGGAA